rnacentral:lncRNA from 1 species
CACAUGGAGGGAUUUAGUAUGGAGAAAUAAAUUCUCCUGCUACGUGGUGGCAUGCACUACAGGGUAUUUUUAGCCUUCCUGCUCAGUACCCAUAGGCAACAGCUGCAGUACUGAAGGUGAUGUGGAAAGAGCUGCAAAGAAGCUGCAUACAGGGGGCAGCCAGGUUAUGGUGAGUGUUUACAGGAGAAGUGAGCAUUGGGUCCAUUGGUUUCUGCAAAUUGCCUUGCUUCUCCAGAGAGAAAAGUCCUUGAAACCUACGUCUUCCAAAUAGAAGUCACUGUUGGACCCAUGUUUGGAGGUAUUCCAGCCCUCAUGAAGGAUUGAAAGACACAGAUGGGAGCAGAGAGACAGUCUGACGAAAUGCUGUCUGAUGCGGAAGUGUGGAUGAAGCAAAAGUGUGUAGCUGAAUUUCUCCAUGUGGAAAAAUUGCACCCAAUGACAUUCAUCAAUGUUGCUGAAUAUUUAUGGAGACCAAAGAGUGGAUGUGAGCACAGCAAGGAGGUUGGUGGCAAAACAGUGAAACAAUCCUCUUGUGCAGAUUUUUACGAGUGCGGCAUGCAGGCUCUUGUUCACUGCUAGUGAAAAUGUAUAGAUAAUUGGUGGUGAUUAUGCUGAAAAGGAGUAUUUCGUGGCUUAGAAUUUUCUCUAUCAAGUAGUGUUAUUGUGUUAUUGCUCUCUUUGUGUCUGUUGUAGUUUCCAUGGAAAUAAAUAGGAGGCAUUACUUUCAGAACUAUCUACAUAUUUAGUCUGCUUUAUCAUUAAUAGAAGUAUAGAAGUAUUUUAUACUUCAGUUUGCACCAACAUUAUUUGUUUUAUUCCUUUUUAAAAUGAAAGUAAUAGAAAGUUUAAGCAUUAAGGAAUAUCAGACAAAUCCUUUCACAUUAUCUCAGUAUUGAGAGUAGAUUUUGGCAGUGGUCAGUGUAUUAGCAGCAUCCAGACUCUUCAUUUUUGCUUCCCAGUUUUUGAAUUGCUGCAGUUCUAGGUCAUGUGUUGAAGCUUCACUGAGGUCUUGGAAUCACCAGGAGCCAAGGUUUCAAAUGUGCAUCCCUUCAGUUACACACUUCAGGCCUUACUUAGGUUCUUAUCUCAAUUAAUUCAGUCCCUAGAGCAUGAGAAUUGCAAAUGAAGGUAGCAAGAGCUUUUGAUGAUGUGCACCUAGGAAAUUCAGGCAUCUUUCAGGCUUCAAGUGUCAGCUUUGACUCUAAUAGAAAAUGAAGCACAGAAACAAAACCUGCUCGCUCCGAUGACAGCACCAUAUUCUUCCCCAAGGCAUCUUCACAGACAAAGACUCAGAGGUCAUAAAAAGCUCUUCCAUGGGGGAUGGAUGAGGUCUCAAACACCCUUUACAUAUGCAACGAAGAAACUACUCCAUUACCACACUAUUCAAAGCAUGGAGAUUCCCUCUUCAUCUGACAAACUACAGUCACCCUUCUCCAUGUCCUUUGUAUUCCAG